UACGGGGGGAGCAAGCGUUGUUCGGAUUUACUGGGCGUAAAGGGCGCGUAGGCGGCCAGCGCAAGUCAGUUGUGAAAUCUCCGGGCUUAACUCGGAAAGGUCAACUGAUACUGCGCGGCUAGAGUGCAGAAGGGGCAACUGGAAUUCUCGGUGUAGCGGUGAAAUGCGUAGAUAUCGAGAGGAACACCUGCAGCGAAGGCGGGUUGCUGGGCUGACACUGACGCUGAGGCGCGAAAGCCAGGGGAGCGAACGGG
rnacentral:rRNA from 1 species